rnacentral:rRNA from 1 species
AUAUAGAGCAAAACCCUAAAAACGGUCUCAGUUCGGAUUGAAGGCUGAAAUUCGCCUUCAUGAAGCUGGAAUUGCUAGUAAUGGCAGGUCAGCAUACUGCCGUGAAUACGUUCCCGGGCCUUGUACACACCGCCCGUCACACCAUGAGAGUUGGGAAUACCCGAAGCCUGUGAGCUAACUUAUAGAGGCAGCAGUCGAAGGUAGAAUCAAUGAUUGGGGUGAAGUCGUAACAAGGUACC